rnacentral:rRNA from 1 species
UACGUAGGGUGCGAGCGUUAAUCGGAAUUACUGGGCGUAAAGCGUGCGCAGGCGGGCUUUUAAGCCAGACGUGAAAUCCCUCGGCUUAACCGGGGAACUGCGUCUGAUACUGGAUGGCUUGAGGUUGGGAGAGGGAUGCGGAAUUCCAGGUGUAGCGGUGAAAUGCGUAGAUAUCUGGAGGAACACCGGUGGCGAAGGCGGCAUCCUGGACCAAUUCUGACACUGAGGAGCGAAAGCCAGGGGAGCAAACGGG